rnacentral:rRNA from 1 species
GAUGAACGCUGGCGGCGUGCCUAAUACAUGCAAGUCGAGCGAACAGACGAGGAGCUUGCUCCUCUGACGUUAGCGGCGGACGGGUGAGUAACACGUGGAUAACCUACCUAUAAGACUGGGAUAACUUCGGGAAACCGGAGCUAAUACCGGAUAAUAUAUUGAACCGCAUGGUUCAAUAGUGAAAGACGGUUUUGCUGUCACUUAUAGAUGGAUCCGCGCCGCAUUAGCUAGUUGGUAAGGUAACGGCUUACCAAGGCAACGAUGCGUAGCCGACCUGAGAGGGUGAUCGGCCAGACUGGAACUGAGACACGGUCGAGACUCCUACGGGAGGCAGCAGUAGGGAAUCUUCCGCAAUGGGCGAAAGCCUGACGGAGCAACGCCGCGUGAGUGAUGAAGGUCUUCGGAUCGUAAAACUCUGUUAUUAGGGAAGAACAAAUGUGUAAGUAACUAUGCACGUCUUGACGGUACCUAAUCAGAAAGCCACGGCUAACUACGUG